GCAUUAAUGGGGUAGUGGUAACCUGGGUCGUUGCCAAGUGCGAAGUCAUACAACUUCGACCCGCCGGGGGUUCGAUUCCCUCUUAAUGCA
rnacentral:tRNA from 1 species